CAUGCCUCCUGCGUAGUUGAAACUCUGUAUGGUGCCACUAAGACUAGUAUGGUAUUGCAGGCAUCCGGUAGGAGCUAACAAAAUCAAUUUUAUUAAAUCAGAAUCAUAAUAAUUAAACAAAAGAAGAUGUGACAACGAAAACUUUAGAUAAGCUCAUAACAUGUAUCCGGAAUCGUCAAUGUAUUUUCUUCAAUACCUCUCGCUUAAAGCUUUAUUAAAAAUAUCUUGUUGUUCGUAAAUUUGAAUAAAAACUAAUAGUGACCUACAUUUUUUUCAAUCUAGUUUGAAAUCGUAAAAGAUAAUGUAUUUUGAUUGAAGAAACAGCUCAAUUGAAACAAUCCGGAACAAUUGUAAAUUUCUUAAUAAGAUUGAGGAUCUGCAAGACAAUCGAUUUGGGUAAUUCUAACUUUCCACGAGUACCUGGAUGAUUGUGAUGUCAUCAUCAUUAAGGAAACAGAUGAUCCUCCAGCUUUUGGGUCUACCGGAAAGUAUACUGAAAACAAAAAUGAUCACACGUGUAUUAAAAUUUAAUUAAAAAAUAUAAAUAUAUAUUGUUGCACUUUUAGCACCUCCUACAUCAGCUACAACAGCUCUCGUCUUAUCAUCGUCAGAUAAUUGAGUUGAUUUGUUAUUAGCAUGUUUAGCCAUUGGUACGUUAUCAGAGGA